GAUCCUGGUUCAGGAUGAACGCUAGCUACAGGCUUAACACAUGCAAGUCGAGGGGCAGCGGGAAGUCAGCUUGCUGACUUUGCCGGCGACCGGCGCACGGGUGAGUAACACGUAUCCAACCUUCCCGUUACUCUGGAAUAGCCUUUCGAAAGAAAGAUUAAUACCGGAUAGUAUCGAGAGAUUGCAUGAUUACCCGAUUAAAGAUUCAUCGGUAACGGAUGGGGAUGCGUUCCAUUAGGCAGUUGG
rnacentral:rRNA from 1 species